rnacentral:rRNA from 1 species
GAUGAACGCUAGCUACAGGCUUAACACAUGCAAGUCGAGGGACCGGCGCACGGGUGAGUAACACGUAUCCAACCUGCCCUUUACUCGGGGAUAGCCUUUCGAAAGAAAGAUUAAUACCCGAUAUAAAGGAUGGGGAUGCGUUCCAUUAGGUUGUUGGUGAGGUAACGGCCCACCAAGCCUUCGAUGGAGAGGGGUUCUGAGAGGAAGGUCCCCCACAUCGGAACUGAGACACGGACCAAACUCCUACGCGAGGGAGCAGUGAGGAAUAUUGGGCAAUGGGCGCUAGCCGGAACCAGCCAAGUAGCGUGAAGGAUGAAGGCGUCUGGGUCGUAAACUUUUUUUAUAUAAGAAUCGGUAUUAUAUGAAUAAGGAUCGGCUAACUCCGUGCCAGCAGCCGCGGUAAUAC